UCAGGUGCCUAUAUCGGCGGUGUCCACCUCUUCCCAUUCCGAACAGAGAAGUUAAGCCCGCCAGAGCCGAUGGUACUGCAGUAAAAUGUGGGAGAGUAGGUCGGUGCCAACU
rnacentral:rRNA from 1 species